rnacentral:rRNA from 1 species
GCUCCAAUAGCGUAUAUUUAAGUUGUUGCAGUUAAAAAGCUCGUAGUUGGAUUUCGGUUGAGAGCGGCCGGUCCGCCGUUUGGUGUGCACUGGCUGGUUUCAGCUUCCUGCAGAGGACGCGCUCUGGGCUUAAUCGUCUGGACGUGGAGUCUGCGUGGUUACUUUGAAAAAUUAGAGUGUUCAAGCGGGCUUACGCUUGA